CAGAUGUUAGCUUCGGACCAUUGACCGAUCGGUCACGUCCAUGACCCAAAUGUCUGAACCUGCUGUUCCUCUCGUACUAAGCAGGAUUACUAUCGCAACAAUUAGUCAACAGUAGGGUAAAACUAACCUGUCUCACGACGGUCUAAACCCAGCUCACGUUCCCUAUUAGUGGGUGAACAAUCCAACGCUUGGCGAAUUCUGCUUCGCAAUGAUAGGAAGAGCCGACAUCGAAGGAUCAAAAAGCAACGUCGCUAUGGACGCUUGGCUGCCACAAGCCAGUUAUCCCUGUGGUAACUUUUCUGACACCUCUUACCAGAAACUAUCUGGAUUAAAAGGAUCGAUAGGCCACGCUUUCGCGGUCUGUACUCGUACUGAAAGUCAAGAUCAAGCGAGCUUUUGCCCUUUUGCUCUACGAGAGGUUUCCGUCCUCUCUGAGCUAGCCUUAGGACACCUGCGUUACGAUUUGACAGAUGUACCGCCCCAGUCAAACUCCCCGCCUGACACUGUCUUCGGCGAGAGUCGCAAGGCCACCAGGUGGCUCCGCUUAAGACAAAGAAAAAAGAGCCGAAGCUCAAUUCUCUUCUCACCGAAUAAGUAAAGAAUCGAUGAAAGUGGUGGUAUUUCAUUGGCGACCGAAGUCUCCCACCUAUGCUACACCUCUCAUGACUCUUCACAAUGUCAAACUAGAGGCAAGCUCAACAGGGUCUUCUUUCCCCGCUAUUUUUGCCAAGCCCGUUCCCUUGGCUGUGGUUUCGCUAGAUAGUAGUUAGGGACAGUGGGAAUCUCGUUAAUCCAUUCAUGCGCGUCAGCUCCUCUACCACCUUUCCCUCGUACCGCCCUUGUUAGCCGAGAUUCCCACAGAUCUUAUCGUGGUCCCGCAGAUCUUAUUCGCGGAUUACUAACAAGAGACGUUCUAGCGCCGAGUCACUAGAACCGGUACAAGCUGACGACCCUAUCACUGUGUGUUCCAGCUUUCGUUCCGCACACUCAAGGGGUUUUAUGGGCAACAAUCAUUGAUGUUAAUACCACCGUCCUCAUGCCCGAUUAGCGGUGGUGAAUGGAGAGGCCUGCUCCUAGAGGGUACUAAGAGACGCACGAAGCCUCGGUGUUACAGGAGAGAUUGUCAUUCGGCUUACCGCCCCAGUUUCCACUACCUUAACUCGUGUUAUUCGUUUCUGUUUCUUAUCGUUCAAUGACAAUCUCUCGCUUCACUGCAUAGUGUCACUCUUCCCCUCUGGUUGGCUCGGUCUUGAUUGCCAGCUAAGUUCCAAUAUCAAUCAAGCCCUCACCUGGCCAAAGUCACCGUACAGCCUAGCUACGCCAACGGCCGCGGCGUCCUGUCCGGUGACACAUCUGGGGGGGUGUGCAACCCUGUUUCGUCCCCUGCUUAGUUCGCUAGGUGGCAUUUCACCAACCUAUUUGUGCCCAACACUGCAGCGCGCUCGAUUCUCUCAAUUAAGACAUCCGUAUUGUCAGGCAAUUCCAAAGCUUGUAUGUAGUGCCUUAGGUUGGGUGACACUUCACCACAGGUACCCAGCACUAUGGGGAUAACGUCGACCCUGCACUUUCUGUCCUUCUGGAGGGCAGAUUUCAGAUUCGGCCCGGGAUAGAAAUCGCCUGCAGCCGUCUCCUCAGGCAGAGUACUGUUAACUCCAUAUUUUCCAAGCUUCCUCUGUUCUUGCGAGAGGACACGGGUGAACCAAGAGACCGAAAUCUCUACGAUCCAGAUCCGUUUAGCCACUUUAUCCCAGACCAGGAGGUCCGGUCUAUUGUGAGCUAGUCCCUCGCUCGUCCAGAUGGAAUCGUUCCAGUGAAUGACAACAUGUCGCAAGUCAACGACGUGCGGUUCAUGAGUAUUCACUGUAGCCUUGACGUUAUACUUUCGUCUAAUUGCAGAGUAAAGCACACGUGCAACGUCAUCGUGUCUUUCGACCAUGAUGUUCGUUCGCCAAUGGCUACAUGCCGACACAAUGUGCUCAGCAGUCUCCAAGGCAUUGGGCGAGCAGUGCAUACGACAGAGCCCUCUAGCCUGGGGCAUGCAGGCUCUGCCAGCAGCGCUACUUCUUGUAAGCAGAGAACCCUCUUGAACGGCCCAAACGUUUCUCAGGACUUCAGCCGAGACCCACCCUCGGACCGACCACAGGAACGAGUCCUUUAGGCACAGUCCAGGUGUCUGCUCGCCAUUCCGUCCACGCUCCUGUAUGACACGGCUCGCUACUUCCUUGCUUUUCCAAGCCGUCAGGUGCACAUUAGACCAUCUGGCCCGGAUCAGCGCAGUUAUAGCUCGCGCGGCCUCAGUAGCGUUGAAAAACGUGCGGCUGUCCACAGUGAUAGUAGCCAAGAUAUUCCGUUUAACCCUCCCUUCUAAUCCAUUGGUGGCCAGCACCUUUUGGAAAUCUGAUGUUAAUGAUCUCUUACCGCUCGCUCGAAGGCUUUCCGCAAGCUCAUACGGAACCAGGAGGUCGGUGUUCGUGGAGAGGUAGCACCAAGAGUACGUGAUACUCUUUUCGAGCUCCUCCACUACUGACUUCAUUCCCAAUCCACCGAGCUCUUUAUCGACGUAUAGCCUAGCCGUGCAGCUACUUCCGA
rnacentral:rRNA from 1 species